rnacentral:rRNA from 1 species
UCAGGAUGAACGCUGGCGGCGUGCCUAACGCAUGCAAGUCGAGCGAUUUACUCCGGUAAAGAGCGGCGGACGGGUGAGUAACGCGUGGGUAACCUGCCUCAUACACAUGGAUAACAUACCGAAAGGUAUGCUAAUACAGGAUAAUAUAAGAGAUUCACAUGGAUUUCUUAUCAAAGCUCCGGCGGUAUGAGAUGGACCCGCGUCUGAUUAGCUAGUUGGUAAGGUAAUGGCUUACCAAGGCGACGAUCAGUAGCCGACCUGAGAGGGUGAUCGGCCACAUUGGAACUGAGACACGGUCCAAACUCCUACGGGAGGCAGCAGUGGGGAAUAUUGCACAAUGGGCGAAAGCCUGAUGCAGCAACGCCGCGUGAGUGAUGAAGGCCUUCGGGUCGUAAAACUCUGUCCUCAAGGAAGAUAAUGACGGUACUUGAGGAGGAAGCCCCGGCUAACUACGUGCCAGCCGCGGC